rnacentral:lncRNA from 10 species
CAAGAAUGAAUGAUAGGGGUUUAACAGGCCGAUGGGGAAAGUGGACAUGACUCCUCCAGCUAUCAAAUUAGACGAUGCUGCCAUGUUAAUUCUCCAAACGAGAAACAAAAGUGUAAUAGAGAUCUUAUUAACUGUGUGUUUUCCUCUUCGAGAACUUGUAUCGUCAAUAACGUCAUCGUGAACCAGACUAGCAGUGUGGAUCAUUUCUGCAAUUAAGGCUAUGGCGCGGUGGCUGGCUUGCACAUGUCAAAUUAACAGACAGCAAUGCUUUUUAACAGACGCCGCCUAGAACCUUCUCAGCAAUCAGCUUGUGAAAAUUGGACAUCGGAUCGGGAGUUGUUAUGAUGGAUAUUACAUGCUCGGGCCAUUAGCACCCCAAUAAUUGGUCGAAAGGCUUUUCCUUUUCCAUCAAAGUAGUACUCAGACAUUUCCUGAAGUUCUGUUGUUGAUAUGAGCAGUUCCUUUCUAAUGUCCUCAUACAGACCUUUCAAGUCUCUGCAACCGAAUUUGAAAGGAUCGGUGAUCUGUAUAUUUCUCACCACUGUGUGUUUUAC